UAAGCAUGAAGCCCCCCUCAAGAUGAGAUUUCCCAUUCCGCAAGGAAGUAAGAUCCCUGAAAGAUGAUCAGGUUGAUAGGUCUGAGGUGGAAGUGUGGCGACACAUGGAGCUGACAGAUACUAAUCGAUCGAGGACUUAACCA
rnacentral:rRNA from 1 species